rnacentral:rRNA from 1 species
CCCAUUUUCCCGCCUUUUUUUUAGAGUUUGAUCAUGGCUCAGGACGAACGCUGGCGGCGUGCCUAAUACAUGCAAGUCGAGCGGACAGAAGGGAGCUUGCUCCCGGAUGUUAGCGGCGGACGGGUGAGUAACACGUGGGUAACCUGCCUGUAAGACUGGGAUAACUCCGGGAAACCGGAGCUAAUACCGGAUAGUUCCUUGAACCGCAUGGUUCAAGGAUGAAAGACGGUUUCGGCUGUCACUUACAGAUGGACCCGCGGCGCAUUAGCUAGUUGGUGGGGUAAUGGCUCACCAAGGCGACGAUGCGUAGCCGACCUGAGAGGGUGAUCGGCCACACUGGGACUGAGACACGGCCCAGACUCCUACGGGAGGCAGCAGUAGGGAAUCUUCCGCAAUGGACGAAAGUCUGACGGAGCAACGCCGCGUGAGUGAUGAAGGUUUUCGGAUCGUAAAGCUCUGUUGUUAGGGAAGAACAAGUGCGAGAGUAACUGCUCGCACCUUGACGGUACCUAACCAGAAAGCCACGGCUAACUACGUGCCAGCAGCCGCGGUAAUACGUAGGUGGCAAGCGUUGUCCGGAAUUAUUGGGCGUAAAGGGCUCGCAGGCGGUUUCUUAAGUCUGAUGUGAAAGCCCCCGGCUCAACCGGGGAGGGUCAUUGGAAACUGGGAAACUUGAGUGCAGAAGAGGAGAGUGGAAUUCCACGUGUAGCGGUGAAAUGCGUAGAGAUGUGGAGGAACACCAGUGGCGAAGGCGACUCUCUGGUCUGUAACUGACGCUGAGAGGCGAAAAGAGGG